rnacentral:tRNA from 1 species
GAGGGUAUAGCUCAGUGGCAGAGUGCCUGCUUAGCAGCUUAGCAUGCGUGAGGUCCUGGGUUCAAUCCCCAGUACCUCCA